rnacentral:lncRNA from 1 species
UUUUAAUUACAGUGAAGCCAUUCCUGCUGUUCUGUUUCCCCUACAAGCUGCAGUCCUUGCAGUUUAGGGACUGCUGUCCCCAGAGUACAAGGGAGUUCCUUCCCUGUGUCUGAGGAAAAUGGUCCCCCUGGAAGUCAGGGAGAUGACCUGGGAUGUAGCAGCUGCAGAAUGGAUCAGUAUUUAAAUUGGUUGCAUUGUGUGAGCAGUGAGUGCAAAGAAUGGAAGACUUUUGGGAACUGCCUGUAUAGAGCAAGCCAUUAACAUACAGAUCUAGAAGCUGGCAGACUCUAUGGCAAAAUCCCAUUGGAUCAGACCUUGCACAGACUGCUAUUAUUCUACUGGGCAUAUAAUUUCUCAACUGAGAGACAUACAGUGAGACCUAGGAACUGUGUCAGAUGAUUUAUUCAGAUGUAGCAAGAUGUUUUUAAGUGGCAGUGUUUAUCUUUCUGAUAUGUGCAGAUUAGGGAAGAGGUAGUCACGGUACAGUUGUUUAAAACUCCAAAUACGUUUUAACUAGAUUUCAAUGCAUUUAAAGUAAAGACCAGUUAUUCAAAACAUAUUUGCGAAAAAUUCAAUGUGACAAAGUAAAUACUUACCAAUAAUUUAAAACAUUUGUUGAGUUUGAAUGUUGCAGAAUGUGUAUCUAACAGUAAUAAAA